CGCGUCUUCUCGUUUCCGCGUCUUCGGUCCCUCCUCCCUCCCGCGCACGCCGCACGCCACUCCGCACUGUCGGCGCUCAAACACAGCGCUCCAAUGGCUGCCACCGAUGCCUUUCCCCCGCUGGCUAUAAGAGCGGGCCACAGCUCUCACCGCCACAUGCCACCCGCAUUGCUCUCAACCUCGGUCAACGAUCGUGCCUCGUGAAUUUGCUCUCCGAUCUGAAGCAGUAGUACACUACUAACCUGGCCUGUCCCUGCCCGUGUGGUGUUGUUGAUCGUGUUCCAUCCAUCCAGCACUUUGGCACCAUGGCGCCCGCAUGGCUCUCCGUUCCCAGCGCCGCCCUCUCCCUCCUCGACGGCCAGCGUCCCCGCGAGUGGGAGUGGCUUCCGCUCCGAACCGCCUGCCCGAGCGGUGGCCGUCGUGUGCGUGUGCCGUGCCGCCGGCCCAGGACGACCGGGUUUUCUGUCGCGGCGCAGAGGAGGCUGGUCGUGGCGGCGGCGGCGAUGGAGAUGACCCCUGCCGCGGGAGAAAAGGAGGCGGACGCCCCGUUCACCGAGGAGAUGCGGGCGGCGGCCAUGCGGCUGCACUCCAGGGACCAGGCCAGGGACGGCAAGAAGGAGGCGCCCCUGGAGCCGCCCGUCGCCAAGUGGCAGACCACCGUCGAGGGGUACCUCCGCUUCCUCGUCGACAGCAAGCUCGUCUUCCAGACGCUCGAGGCCAUCGUCGACCGCGCCGUCGUUCCCUGGUAUGCCGAGUUCAGGGAUACUGGUUUAGUGGUUUGGAGAGAUCGGAGCCGCUCGGCAGGGAUCUGGAAUGGUUCAGGCAGCAAGGUCACGCAGUUCCGGAACCAUCUGCUCCUGGCAUUGCGUACGCUUCCUUUCUGGUAGAGCUGUCUGAGAAGAACCCCCCGGCGUUUGUUUGCCAUUUCUACAACGUGUACUUCGCUCAUGCUGCCGGAGGCCGAAUCAUCGGCAAAAAGGUUGCUGAGAAGCUCAGUCUGCAGAAAGAGCUAGAGUUCUACGAAUGGGAGGGCGAUCUGUCGCAGCUGCAGCGGAAUGUCCGGUCGAGGCUUAACCGAGUCGCUUCCGGUUGGUCUCGAGUAGAGAAGGACCGCUGCCUGGGCGAGAUGGAGAAGGCGUUUACCUGUUCAGUUGACCUCCGCCGCCAUAUGUUUCCCUGCUGAUCUAAAGUUCGUUCGUUGCCUGAUGCGAUGCGACCAUAAACGUUGUCUGUCAGUUUCUGUUUACGUGUCCACUAGAUCCACUGGAUCCAUGUUUAGUUACUAUUGUCCAAGAUAUUUACUCCCUCCGUUUCGUUUUAGUUGUCGCUGGAUAGUGCAAAAUUGCACUGUCCAGCGACAACUAAAACGAAACGGAGGGAAUAGUAUUCAGCCACCCAAAUCACC